GUCGCAUAAGUGGCCGAAGGGAAGGGGCAGAUCCUGGAGCUACCAGUGCCUUCCACGUUUCUGAUGGCCAUGCUGUGAGGCCUGACUUUCAUGGCAGCAUUUCAACAGCGUGAAAAACCUCUUACCAUCCCUGGGAAAGCUGAACUUCACGAAGAGCACGACUGGUUCUUCUACUGCUAUAGGGGCUCGUAUCAACACGUGAUCAGUUCAACUAAAGAAAAAAAGAAAUCGAAAUGCAGUGUUCGAUUACCAAAAUGGGCAUGGUAAAAUUGGUACUCAGGCUUGAUCAGGACAGAAGCUGGUGAAACCACUGACAAACACAAAAAUGUCUGCAGAUGGAUCAGCUUCAAACUCUGCAUGGUCGAUGCAGAUGACAGAUACAAAUGCUUCUUUACGCUGGGUAUAAGGAAAAUACUAUUUCACUCUGGGAGAGGGAUACAAUCUUCCAAAAGCUGUGGUGACCACGUUGCUGGAGACAGUUUGGAAUUUCCUAUCUCUAGAGUUUUCCAAUUCUGAGCUACCUGGAACUAGAGCUGACCUGAUCUACUGUUCCUUCCAACAUCUCCAUCAUUCUUUGAAAUCUACAUUAGACUGAACACGAUUUUACUGCAGCACAUCUUGGUUAUGAUCCUAAAUCACACAUGUAUCUCUGUUUAUCAAGUAGCCAAUCUUUCCUGAUGCCAAUGACCGUAGAAGAAACUCAUGUCCCCAGGCAAUUCCUCAGAUGACUGCUUCCAGCAGAAGGUGGAGGAUGAAAAGAAGUCAAGUUUUGUUGUAUGGGAACUGCUGAGUCAAGGCCUGAACCUCUGAUGGAUCAACUGAGAUUUGCAGUUGCUUGUCAUCACCUCUCUGUCCAGGAUGCUGAAGCUUCCUUGGAAGAUGAAUAUUUACUCUAAUCGCCGUAUUUUUGGCCUGAAGCUUUGAAAACUCAGAGUGAACAUGACUGCACAGAGGAGCGCGUACAGCUUUCACCUGGAAGGAUUUUCCUGGAUGGAAAGAACAUUUUGGCACAAGGGGCAAACCAAG